AGAGUUUGAUCCUGGCUCAGGAUGAACGCUAGCUACAGGCUUAACACAUGCAAGUCGAGGGGCAGCAUGAUUGAAGCUUGCUUCAAUCGAUGGCGACCGGCGCACGGGUGAGUAACACGUAUCCAACCUGCCGAUAACUCGGGGAUAGCCUUUCGAAAGAAAGAUUAAUACCCGAUAGCAUAGUAUUUCCGCAUGGUUUCACUAUUAAAGAAUUUCGGUUAUCGAUGGGGAUGCGUUCCAUUAGAUAGUUGGCGGGGUAACGGCCCACCAAGUCAACGAUGGAUAGGGGUUCUGAGAGGAAGGUCCCCCACAUUGGAACUGAGACACGGUCCAAACUCCUACGGGAGGCAGCAGUGAGGAAUAUUGGUCAAUGGACGAGAGUCUGAACCAGCCAAGUAGCGUGAAGGAUGACUGCCCUAUGGGUUGUAAACUUCUUUUAUACGGGAAUAAAGUGGAGUAUGCAUACUCCUUUGUAUGUACCGUAUGAAUAAGGAUCGGCUAACUCCGUGCCAGCAGCCGCGGUAAUACGGAGGAUCCGAGCGUUAUCCGGAUUUAUUGGGUUUAAAGGGAGCGUAGGCGGGUGCUUAAGUCAGUUGUGAAAGUUUGCGGCUCAACCGUAAAAUUGCAGUUGAUACUGGGCGCCUUGAGUGCAGCAUAGGUAGGCGGAAUUCGUGGUGUAGCGGUGAAAUGCUUAGAUAUCACGAAGAACUCCGAUUGCGAAGGCAGCUUACUGGACUGUAACUGACGCUGAUGCUCGAAAGUGUGGGUAUCAAACCAGGAUUAGAUACCCUGGUAGUCCACACAGUAAACGAUGAAUACUCGCUGUGGGCGAUACACAGUCAGCGGCCAAGCGAAAGCUUUAAGUAUUCCACCUGGGGAGUACGCCGGCAACGGUGAAACUUCAAAGGAAUUGGCGGGGGCCCGCACAAGCGGAGGAACAGGUGGUUUAAUUCGAUGAUACGCGAGGAACCUUACCCGGGCUUAAAUUGCAGCGGAAUGUAGUGGAAACAUUACAGCCUUCGGGCCGCUGUGAAGGUGCUGCAUGGUUGUCGUCAGCUCGUGCCGUGAGGUGUCGGCUUAAGUGCUAUAACGAGCGCAACCCUUGCCACUAGUUACUAACAGGUAAAGCUGAGGACUCUGGUGGGACUGCCAGCGUAAGCUGCGAGGAAGGCGGGGAUGACGUCAAAUCAGCACGGCCCUUACAUCCGGGGCGACACACGUGUUACAAUGGCGUGGACAAAGGGAAGCCACCUGGCGACAGGGAGCGAAUCCCCAAACCACGUCUCAGUUCGGAUCGGAGUCUGCAACCCGACUCCGUGAAGCUGGAUUCGCUAGUAAUCGCGCAUCAGCCAUGGCGCGGUGAAUACGUUCCCGGGCCUUGCACUCACCGCCCGUCA
rnacentral:rRNA from 1 species